UGGUGUACCAGUUGUCGUGCCAACGGCAUAGCUGGGUAGCUAUGUGUGGACGGGAUAAGUGCUGAAAGCAUCUAAGCAUGAAGCCCCCCUCAAGAUGAGAUUUCCCAACUUCGGUUAUAAGAUCCCUCAAAGAUGAUGAGGUUAAUAGGUUCGAGGUGGAAGCAUGGUGACAUGUGGAGCUGACGAAUACUAAUCGAUCGAAGACUUAAU
rnacentral:rRNA from 1 species